rnacentral:lncRNA from 1 species
UUGGGAACAAAGCCAUCAUAUUCUUCAAUUUCUUUUUUUUUGCAAGAUUUUACUCAUUAAAGUUUUGCUUUGUGGCAUGUGAAAAUUAAAAUAUUUUCACUUACUAAUGUCAUCACCUUUACAGGAUAAGAAAUCUCACUUCAACACACAUAGAGAGACAAAAUAGAUACGUCCUAAAUGACUGCUUGUUGGCUUAGACUUUAGUAUCAGUGGUCAUGGUAUAUUCAUCUUCAGCAAAAAUUAAGGCUGCUGGUGAACUCAUGCACAUGCUAAUACAGAAAUUAAUGCACUGAAGUAUGCAAAUCACUGAUUCCUUACGAGCAAUGCACUGAGUAGUGUCCUUAAAAGACUUGCAUCAGAAGAAUGCAUGAAAGGGCUAGUUGGUGCAUAUUAAUAAACCUUAGCACAACUCGGACACCAGGAAGAUGGGACCACUAUGCAAUCAGAACACCAAAGAAUUAAUAAAGAAACAUGCCAAGUUUGUAGAAUAUACUGUCGGCACAGCUGUAAAAUUUCUUAGCAUGUGGAAACAUCAGCCACACUGUCAAGUGUGAUAAGUGCCUGAGAGAUCAUGAGCGGUCUUUACCAGCAGGAACCAGCUCACGUUUAGCAAAACACUGCAAAAUGUGCACUUGUUAGGCUCUUCUCAAAGAUUGUGACAUUGAAACGGAGCCGGGAUAUUACUGCCCAAGAAUUAUCAAAAGUAUUUUUUUACAAUAUCACUUGGAUCAGAAUGUGUCAAUGUUUCUUCUAUUUCUCUGUACAACACUGAAUUUGGUCUUUUAGAAUCCCUUGUACAAUUUUCUCUUUUGAUCUGUCUCUCACAAUGGCUUCUCUAUGCAUGCUCAUUAUGUCUGGUUUCUUAUGAGUAAGGGUGUGAUGUCAUAAAGAUGCUAGCUAUUGCCACAUCCUGUCUCCUCCUUUUGUCAUCCUGUUUGUGCUAAGGUUUAUUAUGGAGAAUGUUAUCUCAGCAGCACAUGUGGUGUUCAUUACACAUUGUGUGAAUUAAGUGUUGCAUUGUACAGUGUCAGAGUAGCUAUAAGUAGUAGUGUUCUGUUUGGUGGGAUCUCCUUCUCAGGAUGCUGUUGCACAAAGUAUCCACAUUUUUAGAGGCUUGUAGGACCAACAAUCCUGCUUGACACUACAUGGCAGGUGGCCAAGGUAAUACAAAAGUGAAAAUGGGAAAACGUGUGCAGAAUAUUUGCCUACAAUGGGUGCCCUAUGAGCAAUAUGAAAAGGGACACCUAAAAUUUAAUUUUAAGGGGCUCUAGGGCCUAAAUACAGAUUCCUGAUGUAAAAUGUUUCAUUGAGACUGGAUAUUCAACAAGAAGGCUACUUGCUGCAUAUUAACAUGCGAUAUUUCAAUACACACAAUUCAAGUAAUCAUUACUUGAAAACGAAUUCAGUGUGCCCUGUCAUUUUGCUCUCAACUGUACACCCUACACUAAGCAACAGCUUAUGGGCAGAGAAUGCUUGAAACGUGAACAUAAACUGGCAGAAUUUGAUGAUGGUUCCUAAAGGGAGCACACAUCUGUAAAGUUCUUCUUCAUUCUUUUUCACAAACGUUGGAAAUGCCUCGCUUCAGCAAGUACUACAGCAAAAAAGUCAAGCCGUUCUUUUAAUAGCAGAGUAACUGUGGUAACAGAUGCUGGCUGUUGUGGAGCUUGAGCAAUGUCUUAGAAGUAACAAGUGUGAUGUGAAAUUUAGCAGGCUGUGCAUAAUUGGGCAAGAUGGCAAAAGAGCCAGUGUCUGUGCCACCUGUCUUUUGGGCAUUGUGACAACUGUGACCACGCUUCUGAUAACGAUGUGUGCCUUUAUUUGUCUAGAGCAUGGUGGGCAUGUCUAUGCUAUCCUUUUCUUAAAGAGCGAGCAUGUCCGGGGACUUGAGCUAUGCAAACAGCCUGCUGCAGCAUUCUACGAGUACGGAUUGCAUCUGCAUUCACACCAGCAUGGCUGCAAAAGGCUGGUCAUGCAGAUUCAGCACACUGAAUAACCUACCACAUUAACUCUCUGAUGAACUAAAGAACAGAGGGAUAUGAUGUGAAUCAUGUGUAAGCGAAGUGUUUUGGUGGAUGAGGCAUCUCAUUUCCUAAGAGAGUGAUGCUAGUGUCAAAGAGUAAAUCAUAUUUCAAAUGAACUAACUUCUUGCACUGCAUGGUUAUCUUGAAAUUUGCAUUAGACUUGGAUAAUGUUAAGAGUAUAGUGCACAACCUUGGCAACAGAUAGCUUACAGUGCAACGCAUUAGUCCCCUCUUCCCACAAAUAUCAGCCCACUGCAGCGAAGGAGCUUGUAUGCAAUAUAACUGUCCUCCACAGGGAAUGCAUUGAAUCAUACACAAAACAAGAGCA